GCGGGCAUGGCGGAAUUGGCAGACGCGCCAGAUUUAGGUUCUGGUAUCUUUGAUGUGCAGGUUCAAGUCCUGUUGCCCGCACUA
rnacentral:tRNA from 1 species